rnacentral:rRNA from 1 species
UAGGGAAUCUUCGGCAAUGGACGAAAGUCUGACCGAGCAACGCCGCGUGAGUGAAGAAGGUUUUCGGAUCGUAAAACUCUGUUGUUAGAGAAGAACAAGGACGUUAGUAACUGAACGUCCCCUGACGGUAUCUAACCAGAAAGCCACGGCUAACUACGUGCCAGCAGCCGAGGUAAUACGUAGGUGGCAAGCGUUGUCCGGAUUUAUUGGGCGUAAAGCGAGCGCAGGCGGUUUCUUAAGUCUGAUGUGAAAGCCCCCGGCUCAACCGGGGAGGGUCAUUGGAAACUGGGAGACUUGAGUGCAGAAGAGGAGAGUGGAAUUCCAUGUGUAGCGGUGAAAUGCGUAGAUAUAUGGAGGAACACCAGUGGCGAAGGCGGCUCUCUGGUCUGUAACUGACGCUGAGGCUCGAAAGCGUGGGGAGCAAACAGG